rnacentral:rRNA from 1 species
AGAGUUUGAUCCUGGCUCAGGACGAACGCUGGCGGCGUGCCUAAUACAUGCAAGUAGAACGCUGAAGAGAGGAGCUUGCUCUUCUUGGAUGAGUUGCGAACGGGUGAGUAACGCGUAGGUAACCUGCCUUGUAGCGGGGGAUAACUAUUGGAAACGAUAGCUAAUACCGCAUAACAAUGGAUGACACAUGUCAUUUAUUUGAAAGGGGCAAUUGCUCCACUACAAGAUGGACCUGCGUUGUAUUAGCUAGUAGGUGAGGUAACGGCUCACCUAGGCGACGAUACAUAGCCGACCUGAGAGGGUGAUCGGCCACACUGGGACUGAGACACGGCCCAGACUCCUACGGGAGGCAGCAGUAGGGAAUCUUCGGCAAUGGGGGCAACCCUGACCGAGCAACGCCGCGUGAGUGAAGAAGGUUUUCGGAUCGUAAAGCUCUGUUGUAAGUCAAGAACGAGUGUGAGAGUGGAAAGUUCACACUGUGACGGUAGCUUACCAGAAAGGGACGGCUAACUACGUGCCAGCAGCCGCGGUAAUACGUAGGUCCCGAGCGUUGUCCGGAUUUAUUGGGCGUAAAGCGAGCGCAGGCGGUUUGAUAAGUCUGAAGUUAAAGGCUGUGGCUCAACCAUAGUUCGCUUUGGAAACUGUCAAACUUGAGUGCAGAAGGGGAGAGUGGAAUUCCAUGUGUAGCGGUGAAAUGCGUAGAUAUAUGGAGGAACACCGGUGGCGAAAGCGGCUCUCUGGUCUGUAACUGACGCUGAGGCUCGAAAGCGUGGGGAGCGAACAGGAUUAGAUACCCUGGUAGUCCACGCCGUAAACGAUGAGUGCUAGGUGU